rnacentral:lncRNA from 1 species
UUCAGAAGGGGCUGGAGGGGAGAGAUUGAAUUAGAAUGAUCUCAUUUGCAUUUUUAAAGAAAUCAUGCCUCCUCUCCAGCUUUCUCCACUGUCACCCUUCUUUUCUCUUAAAUCUAGGCUGACAUCCGAGGUUCAGGAGGGCUCUGAGCACAAAAAAAGCAGCAGACGUGGGAAGGAUGCUUAACCUUUUGUUGCCAAGGAGCCAGCACCGAUCUGACAGCGUGAGAUGCUGCAAGGAGUAAAGCAGCAACUCAGUGACUUGUGACUAACCAG